UUAGGGUUAAUGUGGGCCCUUGAUCUUGAUUAGGGUUGGUGGAUUCGGAUGGUGGAGAUGUGGCCGCCACCCUUUGGUCUCUUCCUACUUGGAUAAGAGGGUGGGGGUGGCCACACUCGCUCUCUCUCUCUUUUUUUUUUUUUUGGGGGCGAAGCCAUGCCAAAUUGCAUCCCCACGUACCCUUGUUUCUAUAGAGCUGCAAUUGCGCAGCUGUAGUGUAUUAGUUAUCUGGAAAUAGAACGUCAAACUUUACCAAUAGUUAGAUCUUGUCGUUAGCUUCCUCGGGACAGUAGGCACGCUUUGUUUGGAGAGAAAACAAGAAAGUUGUGGUGGUUUUAGUGACAAGGAGGUCAGCUGCCGGCCAGAUCUGGAGGUCCGACUUUGGAAGGCAAGUGUUGGCGGACAGUAUUGAAUUUGGAGCUGAAACUUUUGUGGGGGAUGGUUCUUGUUGUCAGCUUUGCAAGGACUAUUUUCACGCUUAGAUUGAGUAAAGGCCAAGGAAGUUAUGGUGGUUGGAGUGAAGAGGAGUCGGCCGUGGUGAAGAUGUAGCACUCCGCCAACUCAAGCUACUUUGGAAGGUCAUAUCUUGGAAUUCACUCAAGAUUUUCAAGAAAAAAUUGUUGGAGGUGAUGCGGCUUCAAUUCUAGUUUCUGGAAUGCUAAAGCAUAUGCGUUGCACAACUGGAAUGGAGCAAGGGCAAGGGUUUUUGUGGCCAGGGGUGCUCUGACUAAGCCGAGAAAGUUAGGCAACUUUGAGGCAAGAUUUCUCUUAGCUUAAUUGUUGUUUUGCAUUGAAUUUUGUUGGAGGACAAGCGCUUGUAAGUCUACUUUCUAAAAUAGCAAAGCUUGUUAUAAACAAGUUAGUGAUGCAACCAUUGUAGUGGAAUUCGUGCAAGGGGGUCGCUACCAUGACUUGGAAGGUGGCGACUUCUAAUUUUCUUUAAUUUUUAGGAUGAAUCUUGGAUGAAUUAGGUCAAUUGCACGAAUUGUCAGUUGGAUGAUAAGUUGACUUAUGGUUGGAUGAAUGAAUCUUUAGAUGAAAAUUGGAUGAACAAACUUUGAAUGAAUGAAUGUUAUAGGAUGAAUGAGAUUUAAGGAAUAGAUGAUUGAUGAAGGGAAAUUUAGGAUGAAUGAACUUAGGGUUUAUGGAUGAACUUAGGGUUUAUGGAUGAACUUAGGGUUUCUAGAUGAACUUAGGGUUUCUAGAUGAACUUAGGGUUUCUAGAUGAACUUAGGGUUUUUGGAUGAACUUAGGGUUUAUGGAUGAACUUAGGGUUUAUGGAUGAACUUAGGAUUUAUGGAUGAACUUAGGAUUUAUGAAUGAACUUAGGGUUUAUAAAAAUUGCGUGUGAGUGAAGUUAAUCCACUUGACUACUAAACGCAAUUAUGGGUGGAGGAAUUUAGCUCACAUAAAUGGUGCGUUUGCCGAGAGCCGAUCUUAGAGACGUUGUCUAACAAUUUUUUUUUUUUUUUUUUUUUUUUUUUUGAGUUGAGAUGAUUGAUUACAUGGAGGAAGGAGAUAAUAGGAGCAAGAUGAUGGAGUCGUGAUUGGAAGGAGCACAGCAGAAGGUAUGUGGGUCCUGGGGAUAUCUAUGGUAGUUUGUGCUAGAAACCUUAGCAUGUGAUCGAGAGGCCGGUGGUAUACUAAUUGUGCAGGAAGCUGGAAUUGCAUGAGGUAAGCCAUCAUACAUUGAAUGAUCUAUGUUCACUUAGGAUUGUAAUUCGUCGUUGUCGUUGCCUUGUUAGUGGGUAAUGCCUCGGCAGUGAGCUGAUUUGAGAACGAGGGGGGUUCCGACCGCGAAGGCAGAAUCACAGUGUCUCAUUUACUGACCGGGUAAGCCCCACAACAUAGGUUGUACCGUAUGCCAAGAUUGGACUAGCGGGCUGAUUUACCUUGGUGAAUUCCAUGUCAUCGCUCGUAAAUACUAUCUUGGUGGUUUGCGUUCCCUACCCACCUGAGGGUAGGCUAGAUUAUUAAUUAUCAAUUUAAAAAUUUCAAAAAAAAAAAAAAAAAAAAAAAUGGGUUGGUAGGUAAUGAGAGAAGGUCAGUGAGGACGUUUAGAUGUUUUCGAAAACUGGAUCUCAAAAACCUACUUUGAACCAAGGACUUGAACGUAUUGGAAGACGUUGGGGUAAGGUCGUGGAUAACAAGGAAGCAGCCCCUUCUCGGAAUACACUCAUUAAUAGUAGAAGCAAUGAAGAAUUUCUUGGAGGAGAGAUUAGAAGGAAUUUAGAAAAGCCUUUAGGAGAUGUCGGGGGCAGCGAGCUAUUGGAGGAGUUGGAAGUGGAGGAGUUAGAGAUAGAACACGUAGACCCUGAAGACAGAGUGUUUGGAGACGUGAAUCUUAGGGAAAUAGGAGAACAGGAUAGGACCUUGGACUUUGUGCCUGCGGUCGAAGGAUUUGUUCACGAGAUGGUGAUGGAGCGGCUUCCAGCUUUGGAUUCCUUAGUUAGGCCACGAGGUUUGCCCGUGGCUAUGCCAGCAGGGCUAUUAGCGGCCACAGUUCCAAGGAAUCUCCCCAAGUUCUAUGGUACCAAGGACGAGGAUCCAACCCUACACAUGGAAAGUUACAUAGAGAUUUUGACAACAUCCCUCAUUGGAAACGAGGGGUAUUACUUGGUUUGGUUCCCCGGAACCUUACACGGUGUCAUAUUAUGUACUUUCCUGCUCGAGAACGCGCCGGGCGUCUGGCUGUAGAAGGUAGUAUGGAGAUUCACCUAUAGUCAAGCAGUCUAUCAGUUUUUGACUGCUGGAAUAUAAACGACUGCAACAAUGUACCGUAAAUCUAUACGGAUGCUCUUCGACUACUUGUCGAAGUCUUUUUUUUUUUUUUUUGCCCCAGCCGGUAGGUCUCUAAACGUUACAGAGAACCCCGAACAACCCAAACUGUUAAUCUUCAAUAUCCCUUUGUACUUACGAUCUUGUAUCCACUGACUGUCUCGUUAGAUUAACCCAAUAAAUUUCAUUCACUCCGCAUACUCAAUCCUAUAGACACCCUUUUAAUCCUUCAAUCACAGACGUAACUCGAUUUUUCAAAACAGUCAAGAGUAUUCAAACCCACUUCAUUUAAAAAUCCCGAUUCACCAUUACAACACUGACUUUAGCAGCGAUUGCCUCAGUCUUCCCAAAACUCUACGAAGAAGAAAAAUCCAAAUUCUAUGUCUUUCCUUCCCCGACCCGAAGCAUGAAGCUCCUCUCUCUAAUUCCCUUGAUCUUCAAAAAACCUCCAAUGAAACCCGAACUGGUAACCUUGCAAAAGCUUGAAAACUCGCUCCCCCCCCCCGAUUCCCCAAAAAAAAACCCCCCCUUUCAAAACUAUAUCCCCCCUAACCUUAUCCUCUGAAUUUCUUCAAUCUUCCAUCUUAGAUCCGGAAUUGGCUCCCACCUCAAGCUUGGAUCCGAAAUUGGCUCUCGUCGUCAGAGCUUUCUCCUCCGUUUUUACCUUUAAGAAAUCCAUUUACCGAAAACAACGUUCCCUGAAACGGCACAGAGAACAGGACAGCCUGAAACAGAAUCGAACCCCGUAAUCGGGACCACAUUGAGUCGCCCGACCAAUUCAGGUCCUAUAUUGGAAAAGAUGCCCGUAAUAACUUGGAUGUUCCCGUAAUUGGGUCAAAUUGGUCCUCGCGUCAGAUUGCCUAAGACCCGUAGUAAGACCUGGAUUUCUCGAAAUUAGACUGCAUUGCAUUGAGCGGCCAAUUCAGGUCUCAUAUUGGAUAAGAGGACCCGGAUUGGAUUAUCGAAAUUGGAUCCAAUUCGCUCCUCGAACCCGUCGUGUGAAUUGGUCCUUCUCUUCUUGCUGACUCCCGUUAUUGGAAUCGAAUGGAGCAUUUUAGUAUGCCCCGGCUGACUGUAACGGAGUGACUGAACCUGACCACUCAGUAUUUGUACUGGAGUUGGUCGAUGCUCCCAAUAUUCGAGGUAACUGAAUAUUAAGAAAAUUCCCCUUUCUUUUUAUUUUCACUGUAUACUCGUGUUACGAUACGACAUCCACCCCCUCUGAACUUGUGCAUCCUCCGGUAUGCACCAAUUUACCCAAUUGCUGUUUGAUUCAGAAUAUAUCCCCUACGUCUUUGUUCAGUUCGUCUUCGUCACCUUCAUUAUCCAAAUCACUUUCAUCUUCUUGCUGCGGAAUCUCUGUACCUUCAUUAAGGUCUUCCAUAUUCAUCUCUGCGUGUCUUCGUUUAAAUAUUUUUACUCGCUUCCCUGCAAUUGGUAUUUUCAAUUUUGUACCAUCUAACUCCCGUAAUGAGUAAGUCGCAUUAUCAGGAACAGUUGUUACAACAUAUGGUCCAAACCAACGUUUUGAAAAUUUCCGCAAAGUACUAUGUUGAUUAUCCAGACUAUUGUCAUAAACAAGUACCCAGUCACCUUCCUCGAUUGCUUUUGGUCUCAAUCGAUGUUGCUUAUCAAAUCGCGCCUUGUUUUGUAACCUUGCUCUUUUUAACCUUUCCAAUGUUAUUUGGACAUCUUCCGUUCUUUGCUCCAAUUGUCGAAUCCUAAUAGCCAGAAGUUCUUCUCUUGUCAAUCCAUCUUCCCAUGGUAGCAUACUCCAAGUAAGUACCUUUUCUUCAAUCGACAUAAUUGGUUUUUGACCUGUCAUAAGUUCUACUGGCAUAUAUCCUGUCACCGAACUAUGUGUUGUUUGAUCAGCCCAUAAUGCAAAUGACAAAAGCCGUGGCCACUCUUUAACUUUCCCAUUACAAGCUUUAACCAAUACUUUCACAAUCGGCGGGUGACCGCGUUCGCUUUUCGUAUUCCCUUCCGGAUUAUAAGCAGUAGUCAGUGAUAGUUUAACUCCGCAUUUUUCAAAGAACUUACGAGCUUCUUGUGCAUUUAAUUCUCCACGAUCUGCAGUGAUUUUUCCUACGCACCCGUAACGGCAAAUGACAUCUUCAAGCAAAAACCUACAAAUCCCCUCUGUAGAUUUUGUCCUCAAUGCAAUUUCUUCUACUUGAUUUGAUAAAUCUUCACGAGCUAAAACCAAAUAUCUCAUCUGCCAUAAACCAACCGGCAUAAUAACCAAAUCAACAACCUAUUUAAAAUGAAUAGCCAGAGGAUACGUAGGAUGAAGACCAUCUCGAUGUCGGAUAUUAGAAUACGAUUGACAGAUUUCACAUGACUCUACAAAUGAGAGCACAUCUCGAUACAUAUUUUUCCACCAAUAUCGUUCCUUGAGUUUAGCAAAAGUAGCCCAGAUUCCUCUAUGCCCUGCCCAUAAACUAUCAUGAAACUCCUUUAAUAAUUUUAGUUUUUCUUCCCUUUUGCCUAUCACUCGUUGUGGCAUCCCAAUUCCUUUCUUCGGUCUCUUCCAUAAGAAUCCAUCUCGAAGUAAAAAUCCAUAUGCUUUUUUUCUUAUUUGUUUGAAUUUUUCUGUAGACCAAUUCCCGUGCUUAGACAAGGUAUUCAAAUAAUGACCAAUAUCCAAUAAUUCUCCUUCAUAAGAUUCUUCAAGAAAUAGCUUGUCUUCUCUGUUGAGAUUUGAUAUUGAAUAGAAUUUCAAUCCGACAUCAUCAAUGUCUUCAACCAUUUCGUCCUCCCUCUCGUAUCUUGCUCGAGAUAGCAUGUCUGCUACUAAAUUGUCCUUUCCAGUGAUAUGCUUAAAUUCUGGAUUUAGUGACUUAAUAUAAGCAAUCCAUCUCAACAUUGCAAUAUCUGGCGUUGAACAGUUAAUAAUCAUUCCAAGCAAUGGCAAGCAAUUUGUUUCAAUUACUACUACUGCCCCAAUCAAAUAGUCCUUUUCAGCUUUCAUAGCCGAAACGACUCCCCAAAGUUCUCUUUUGACUUGCGAAUAUGCACGCUGACGAAUACUUAAAACUUUAGCCCCAAAUCGAACUGCAAAUCUAUUUCUAUUUGAAUCAUCUUGACCCACAGCCCAUCCAACGGCAAUUGGACUAGCGUCUACAGUAAGAAUCACUGAUCUAUUGCACUUAUAAUCAACCUUCCUCAAUAUUGGAGGUGACAUCAAUAAUUUCUUCAAGCUUUGCAUUGCCUGAAUAUGCCUUUCUUUCCAUUCAAAUCGGUAACCCUUGCGUAACAGUUCAUAUAAUGGAUCCGCUAUGUGAGCAAAAUGAGGGAUCCAGAUUCGAUAAAAUACACAUGCACCCAAAAACCUGCGAACCUCUGUUAAAGAACCACAAUCCUCUUUCAUCCUUCCAAUUGCAUCAACUUUAGUCGGAUCUGGUUUUCUUCCGUAAGAUCCGCAUAAAUGUCCAACAAUUACAACCUCUCGUACUCCAAAUACGGACUUCAUACCCGAUAAUGUAAGAUGAACUUCUCCAAGCCAAGUUAAAAUCUUUUCACAAUCUUGUAUAUGAUCAACAACAUAUCUGCGACACUCCCUCGUAUCUAAAGUUUCAUCCUUGUCUCCUUCUCUGCACCCUUUUAUAGGAACAUCAUCCAGAAAAGGCAUAGUCUUUUCUGGAAUAAAAUCUCUCAAUACCUUAUUCAUCCCAUUCAUCAUAUGCGUAACUGAGUUGGUCGCCCCUUGAAGAAGAGUGCACAUUCUAACCAAUCCAAGCGGUGUCCUCAUCGUUGUCAUAUCUCUACUUCCUUCGGCAAGUUGAAAUUGAUCAUAACCUGAAUACAAAUCACCCAUUGAAUAGAUCGCCCUUCCAGCAAACGCCUCAGCAAAUUCAUCCACAAUAGGUCCAAUUCCUGCAUUCCUGACAGUUACAGCAUUCACCGGCUGCAUAUCUUGAAUAAACCGUAGUGACCCAUUCUUCUUAGGUACCGUAAACCAUCGACUAGAAUACGGCGCAAAUGAAGGUUCUAAUAUUUUCAUCUUUAUCUUUUCUUUCAAUAGUUCCACCAAUUUAGGUAAAUGUGCCCUCGGUACUGGAAUCGGUCUUAGAUUCCAAGGUACAUGCGGUACAGUGAAGAUAACCAUAGGUGUUAUAAUAUUUGGAUCCACACACCUAAUUUCAUGAGAUUCGAAGGCAAACGAUCUACCUUGUUUAGCCAACAUCUUUUUGAAGCAAGUAAUUUCCUCCGACAAUAAAGAACCAUCAGAACCAAUCUUCAAUUCUUCAAAAGUCUCUUCAGUAAACUGAUGUCCAAUACUCAUUGGAUCUCUUAAACUUGCUUCUUUUGAUGCUUCUCCCAUUUGUUCUUUAGAAUCCUCUGGUAAUGGUCCGGCAACAGGCUUUACCUUCUUAUCUGCCGUUUUAUAUCUCAUCUCUACUGUGACUUCUGGUGCUUGAAAAGAUUCAAGCAUGGUAUAAACCUCUUUCGAAUGAAUCUCAACAAUCUUACCAUUAUCCCCUAAUCCAAUAGAUGUAAUCAAUUCCAAUGAAUCUUCCAGCCCAUUUUCUUCAUAAACACCCAAAAUCCUCUCAUCAUCUUGCAAUGUACCUAUCUUGCGUAACUAUCCUUCAAUAUCAUAUAAUCUUUUUCUUUCUUUUCUUUUAAAAUCAUCAACUUUCUUAUACAUAAUAUUUCCAUUCUCCAAUAUACCAAUAAAACUCGCAUCAAAGGCACCUUCAUCUCGUGAGAGUACCUCCUCUUUUGUACCUCCAUAAUCUUGCUUUACAGUGGUACCUCCCCAAAAUCCUUAAAUCCUUCAACAAUCUUUGGCAAUGGUUUCUCCCUCAACCUAUCUCGAUUCCGUUCAUGGUUAGGAGGUACUGUUAGAAAUUGUACAGCUUUCCUCCCAUCUUCGCUCCGUACCCUUGCAUAAGCAGAACCAUCGUCAAGUACCUUUGUUUCCAUCCGUGUUGCCGUAAUAUAAGGUUGUCCUAAAAUCAACGGAUAAGACGUUGUAUCUUGAACGAAGAAAUGUUGCUCCGUCGCAACAUCUCCAAUCCGAAUUUUGACAUCUGGACAAGCUCCAUAUAAUUCGCCUCGUGUGUUAUUAGCUGCUCGUAUUGCCUAUCCAUGUUCUAUAUCAAUUGGCCAUUUUUGCUUCUUAUAAAGAUUUUUAGACAUGAGAUUUAUUUCAGAACCAUGGUCCACCAAAGCAACUAUUGGUUCUUCUAUAUCUCCUACCUUCACCAAUACCUGAGUAGUUGCCCUUGCCCAAUGCUUUCGAGUAUAAUGGCUCAAAGUUUCCAUUUCCUUGUCACUGAAAUCUUCGAAACGUACUCGCUGAUUAUACCCAUUCUUUUCAUUUGUUGGUUGCUUGUAACCAAUAUCAACCUCUUCUUCAUCUCUACAUAUUCUUGCAUCAAUAGCAUGACUCAUUCCAGUUUUGCUCAUUAAUUGCCUCUUUCGCUUAAUGCUGUCAAUGAUAACAUCAUGAAACUCCUUCUUUGCAAUUCCCAAGACUUCUUUCAAUGUGAAUUCCACCUUAGCGUUUAAUAUACGUUCUUCCAACACCCCUUUCAAAUUUGUUGCCGCUUCAAUGUCAGAAAGUAGCUUAUAAGCAAUUGAUUUGCCCUUAUCUUUUGUCUCCGUUGUUUUUUCUCCCAAUGAUGCUGAGGUAUCUUUUACGGGCAAUUCUUUUGAAGCUGCCUCCCGAGCCUUGUCUCCUCGAGUUUGCCUCUUAAAAGAAUUUCCUUCUCUAGUAUCAUCAAAAUUUCCUCGUCUUUUUUCUUCCAUCAAAGCUUCAUGUUGGCUCUUAGCAAUAUAUGCAUGAACUGAAAGAGACUAAACAGGAUCCUCCCAACCUGUUCUUCCUCGUAUUGUAGCUGCAGUUCUCAAUAACGCCUCUCGAGGUAAUUUCCCUUCUUGCAUUGUAGAAAUGGCAGAAGCCCAAAACUCACUAGUUUCCGUACUUCCACCAAUUUCAUCAUCUACUCUAGCACCAUAACUUGCACUUUCUCGUACUACUGUUUCAUGCUCUUUUAAGUAAUCUUGAACCAAUGCUCUCAUUCCUCCCUUGCCAAAAUUGGUUUGAAGAAGAUCCUCCCUAUCUUUCAAUGCUAUCUUCCCAUCUUUCCAACAAAUAAUUCCCUGCCGUAUCAUAUUAUUAAAUUCAUUGCAAUCUUUUCUAGUGUGUGAAGCAUCAUCACACCAAAUGCAUCUUUGUACAUAUCCUUGUUUUGAAACAUUCUUCGAAUUGUUUAUAGAAGUAUUCUCUUCAAGUCUUGCCAAUUUGAUUUGAAGAUCUCGCAUUCCUCGUAUAAUUUCUUCCAUAUCCAUAUCUGCUUUCUUUGACAAGGAUGUUGAAGGUUGAACUGUAGGCAUUGUCGGUGGUGUUGUAUGUACUGGAGCUUUGGGUGCUUGUACUGUUUUCGGAAUAUUGCUCCUAUCCUUCCUCCUUUCUUUUUUUGUAAGCAACCCCACCGCAUCUUCAACGUUCUUCCACUUCGUUGUCAAUCCUUCAUCUUCUUCUUUGUCUUCAAGAAGGGGUUCUAAUUUCUCUUGCAAUUCUCCAUCAGCAGCUUGAAGAAAUAGAUCAACUUUGUUCGGCUUCAAUGUCAAUUUUUCUACCUUCGAUAAUUGAGAGUACUGCCUUUCAAAUUCCCUUAGUAGCUCUGUUGCUUGCAAAUUCUUAUUGGGCCGUUCAAUCCAUCCCAAAAAUAGCUUCUUAGUAACGCGAUCAGCAUCUUCCAAGAAAUAUUCGUCUUUCAAUGCAUGUGAAAAAUCCUCCCAUGAAUUCCCACAACGAUCCGUAAUCGAUGUAAUGUGGUCCCUUAUCUCUGAUAUCGUGGCAAGUCCAAAUAGUGCAACCAUUUUCUUCUCAGAAACCCGAUUUAAUUCCAUUUCACGAACAUAACAUCUUAAAUACCUUGAAAUAUUCCUCCCAUCAAAUUGAUCAAUUUUAUUGACCAUUGCUUGCAAUGCUUUGGUUGCCAAAGCUUCCUUUCGAUCAUUGCUUUGCUGUUGCUGCAUUGACAAUGAGAAGGCUUGAAACAAACUAGCAAUAGACGGAUCCAUGUGCAUACCUUGUCCUUUAGAAGACUCUCCACCAGAAACUUCUCCCAAAAAUCCUUCAAAAUUUUUAUUUUCGUUUUCCGUAAAAAUAAAGAUAAAAUCAACUGAAAUCCAAUACCUUCCACCUCAAGCUUUCACGUCGGGUUCACCACUUAUGUCGUAUUACGUGCUUUCCUGCUCGAGAACGCGCCGAGCGUUUGGCUGUAGAAGGUAGUAUGGAGAUUCGCCGAUAGUCAAGCAGUCUAUCAGUUUUUGACUGCUGGAAUAUAAACGACUGCAACAAUGUACCGUAAAUCUAUACGGAUGCUCUUCGACUGCUUGUCGAAGUCUUUUUUUUUUUUUUUUUUGCCCCAGCCGGUAGGUCUCUAGACGUUACAGAGAACCCCGAACAACCCAAACUGUUAAUCUUCAAUACCCCUUUGUACUUACGAUCUUGUAUCCACUGAGUGUCUCGUUAGAUUAACCCAAUAAAUUUCAUUCACUCCGCAUACUCAAUCCUAUAGACACCCUUUUAAUCCUUCAAUCACAGACGUAACUCGAUUUUUCAAAACAGUCAAGAGUAUUCAAACCCACUUCAUUUAAAAAUCCCGAUUCACCAUUACAACACUGACUUUAGCAGCGAUUGCCUCAGUCUUCCCAAAACUCUACGAAGAAGAAAAAUCCAAAUUCUAUGUCUUUCCUUCCCCGACCCGAAGCAUGAAGCUCCUCUCUCUAAUUCCCUUGAUCUUCAAAAAACCUCCAAUGAAACCCGAACUGGUAACCUUGCAAAAGCUUGAAAACUCGCUCCCCCCCCCGAUUCCCCAAAAAAAAACCCCCCCUUUCAAAACUAUAUCCCCCCUAACCUUAUCCUCUGAAUUUCUUCAAUCUUCCAUCUUAGAUCCGAAAUUGGCUCCCACCUCAAGCUUGUAUCCGAAAUUGGCUCUCGUCGUCAAGUUUGGAUCCAAAAUUGGCUCUCGCCAUCAGAGCUUUCUCCUCCGUUUUUACCUUUAAGAAAUCCAUUUACCGAAAACAACGUUCCCUGAAACGGCACAGAGAACAGGACAGCCUGAAACAGAAUCGAACCUCGUAAUCGGGACCACAUUGAGUCGCCCGACCAAUUCAGGUCCUAUAUUGGAAAAGAUGCCCGUAAUAACUUGGAUGUUCCCGUAAUUGAGUCAAAUUGGUCCUCGCGUCAGAUUGCCUAAGACCCGUAGUAAGACCUGGAUUUCUCGAAAUUAGACUGCAUUGCAUUGAGCGGCCAAUUCAGGUCUCAUAUUGGAUAAGAGGACCCGGAUUGGAUUAUCGAAAUUGGAUCCAAUUCGCUCCUCGAACCCGUCGUGUGAAUUGGUCCUUCUCUUCUUGCUGACUCCCGUUAUUGGAAUCGAAUGGAGCAUUUCAGUAUGCCCCGGCUGACUGUAACGGAGUGACUGAACCUGACCACUCAGUAUUUGUACUGGAGUUGGUCGAUGCUCCCAAUAUUCGAGGUAACUGAAUAUUAAUAAAAUUCCCCUUUCUUUUUAUUUUCACUGUAUACUCGUGUUACGACACGACAACAGUGAGGCUUACAAUUGGUACCGGGACCAUGAUGAGGGACAUUUUACUACGUGGUCCUAGUUGCAAGUAGCCUUCUUAAACCACUUUAGGCCGGAGGUUGGACAAAGUACAGCCUUGAGAGCACUGGGAGCGGUACGACAGCAAAGAGACGAGGAAAUGGCUAACUACAUCAGGAGGUUUGACUUGGUCUUCAUGUGUUAUGUAAGAGGAUUGUUGAAUGGCGAUACGUUAAAGCAAUUCUUCAUUGAAGGAUUUGCUAAUCGAUCUACAAUCAAGGGAGUAUUAGAGAGAAACCCAGCCACUUUAGAGGAAGUCAAAACAGCGACGCACGUUGUAGAUUUAAUCGAGAGAAGUUAUGAAAGGCAUUAGAGGAAGGAAGAUGAGUCUAUCCCAGGGUUUAUUCCAAUUAAUCCCGUAAGCCAAGCGGUAGGACCAAGCACGUCAGGUACACCUCCGAUAGUCGACAAUAGUGCCCAAUAUUACAAUGUCAUGCCCACGGCCACCAGAGCUCCGGUACCCUUAUUGGCAUUACCAGAGCCACAAUUGGAGAGGAGAGUGGAGGACUUGGAGAAGAAAAUACAGGCCGGACAAGAAGGUUUUCAAGACUCCAUGAUGAAGCAGAUCCAAGCCUUGACUGAGCAGAUGGCAUUCAUGGUAAUGAAUCAAAAUUCAAACACUCCACCUCCUCGGAUAGAGUCUGGUAACCAUAACUCGGGGGUUUGGUGUACUACUUGUGGCUAAAAUGGACAUUCAUCUCUUCAGUGCCGAGUAAGGCCUCAAGGUAAUCCAAAUCCUCAACCAUACCAGCCAACACAUGGCUAUGGAAGAGAUAGAGGACCUCAGCAGCGGCAAGGAGGUUAUCAAGGUGGUCCUCAAGGAUAUGGUAGAAGUGGCAAGCCUCGGAAGGAGUACCAUGAGCUUUGCAGGAGAUGGCAUGAGCCGGAUCAGUGCUGGGAUGAUGGCCAACCAUGGCCGUGUGGCAAUUGUGGUGGCAAUCACCCUACCCAUGAAUGUAGACAACCUGAUAAGGUAAUUCAACUACCACCACCAAUAACAAAUCCUUAUGAGAACGCGCGGAAUAACAUGAGAGAUCAGAGACGACCUCAUGAUGAUGAUCAGAGGGGCCUAAAACCUCCUAAUCUCUACUACAACUAUGAGGAUUUCAGACAAAACCAUCAACCUCUGGAAAGGUUACAAACCCGCCAUGGUUAUAUCCCAGUUGCCCAAAAUCAACAAGGUAGCUAUCGAAACUAUGCAAACCAGAAACAAGGUCCAUCUUCUAACCAAGAUGUUAGAAUAGCAGAAGAGGUCUUAUUGAAGGGUCCUGCACCAUCUCUAGCAAAGACCACAGUGGUGAUUGAAGAACAUGAAGCACCUUCUAAUUUAGUGACCCACGAAUUGAAGAAAGACGGAGGUGGUAGCCAUGAGAAUGCUACUUUGGUUGUGAUUACCCGAGGGCAAGCUCAUAGGCAAUCACCAAUCGAUGAAGAAGACUUAGAUAGUAGUGAGUCUGAAGAGUUGUUGGAUUUAGUAGCUCUUGAGGUGGCUGCAAAGGAGGCGGCAAGAAUUACAAGGGAGAUAGGCGCCGCGGUAGGUGAUGAAAGGUCAUCUGAAGGCUCUGAUCCAAGUAAAGGGUUAGAACUGGGUGAAUGGGAGGGUCCUGAUAUUCCAGAGGAGGAGUUUGGAGGGUUGGGUCGUACGAUGCCAACCUCUUACCAGAAGUAUGAUCUCUGGAGGGACUUGCGGAGGAUAAAGGCUGACAUCUCAAUUGCUCAACUAUUGGAGAUAUCUCCUUUGAUGAGGAAGAGUUUCAAAGAAGGAUUACCUAGGGCGAAGAGGAAGAAGAAGACUCAGAAGAGGACAGUGGCUAGGGUACAAGCAUCUAUUAGGCCAGUGGAUGUGAAGGCAGUGGAGAUCGAGGUCACUAUCAUGGACAAGGUGGUUCCGAAUGUACUCAUUGAUGGAGGUAGUGGGCUUAACAUCAUGCUACUUCAUACCAUGGAGAAGUUGGGGUUGAAUUUAACCGGACCUUCAUUAUUUGUAUUAAACAUGGCAGAUCAAAGUCCUGCUAGGCCUUUAGGCUAGAUCACGAACUGUAAAAUCUCUACAGGAGGGGAGGAUUACUUAGUGACCUUCCAUGUGAUCAAGAUGCACACUUCCAAAGAAUCUUUUCUACUUCUCUUAGGUCGUCCAUGGUUGAGGAUGGCCAAUGCCACCAUCAUGUGUGGUGGUGAUAAGCCCUCCAUAGUUUACGGUCCAUAUGAAAAUCCCACUAAAUUUAGAAUCAAGCCUUUGAUAGGACUCGAGGUGGUUGACACCAUAUCUAUUGGAGAAGGCACACCAUUAAAAUCCGUGGAUGGGAUGACGUUUGAAGUUGAGGUUCAAACCUUGAAGUGUCUUGGUCCAAAUCUCUACCAUUGGUCAGACAAUGGAGAGUAUGCCAAGUGGCUCUAGGACAACCCUGAUUCUUCAUCAGAAUUGACGGCAGGAUUGAAUCUCAUUGGAAUGGAGUUGGACGAUGGUUUGACACCUUUAAUUGAGGUAGAUGUCCAUUUGAUUGGAAUAGAGGAUGUUGAAGGAGUAGAGGUUUUAGAGGAAAGUGAGCAUUUGGGACGAUCAUUGAAAUUUAAGACUGGUUCUUCGGGAAUUAUGGUUGGAGAAGACGUUUUCAGUUAUCCCAAUGUGCCUUCGGAUUGGUAUCGAGAUAACAAUGAGCAAUCUCACGUUGCUAAGGAAGACUAGAAGUUUGUGACAGUGGAGUUUGAAGGAGAAGAACCAAGACAAAUGAAGAUGGGAAGCCAACUAGAGGAUGAAGAGAUCAAGGCCUACUGUGAAUUGGUAAGACAGUAUCGGGAGGUCUUUGCAUGGUCUUACAAAGAGUUAAAGGGGAUUCCUCCUGAGAUUGUAGAACAUCGAAUUCCCUUGAUGACCGGUGCAGUGCCGAUCAGGCAAAAGGAGAGGAGAAUGAAUCCUCAGCUUCAAUUGAUUGUGAAAGAGGAACUGGAGAAAUUACUCCAAGCAGGUUUUAUUAAACCUGUUGAGAUUACAGAUUGGGUCUCUCCCAUGGUGCUUGUAAAGAAGAAGAAUGGUAAACUUAGGGUGUGUGUGGAUUAUAGAAAGUUGAAUUUUUGCUCCCAAAAAGACCACUUUCCCUUGCCAUUUAUCACUAGCAUCUUGGAAGAAGUGGCAGGUCACGAUUUAUACACAUUUAUGGAUGGAUAUUCUGGAUACAACCAAGUGUCUAUUGCACCUGAAGAUCGACACAAGACUGCAUUUACAACACCUUGGGGGAUGUUUGUGUGGCAUGUGAUGCCAUUUGGAUUAUGUAACGCCCCUGCUACUUUCCAACGUCUGGUGAUGUCUAUCUUCUCAGACUUGUUAUACAAAUCAAUGACCGUGUUCAUUGAUGAUUUCAGCACCCAAUCUGAUGCAGAUUCUCACAUUCAUUUAGUGAAAGAAAGCUUAGAGAGGUGCAAGAAAGCUCGAAUGGCCCUGAAUCCAGAAAAAACCUAUCUUGCCUUGACUAGAGGCAUUUUGUUGGGAUAUAUGAUUAGUAAGAGGGGUCGUGAGCCCGAGCCAGAAAAGGUGAAAGUAAUUCAAAAUUUAUCACCUCCUACUAGUGUGAAGGAAGUGCAACGUGUAUUGGGACACACCGGUUGGUAUAGGGAGUUGAUUGAAGAUUACGCCACUAUUACCCUUCCCAUCACUAGCCUUCAGAAGAAAGGCACCAAAUUUAUAUGGACUCAGGCUUGUAAUGAUGCUUUCGAGGUUCUAAAGAAGGAAUUGUCUUCUUAUCCAAUAUUGAGGCCCCCGAGGUGGGACUUGCCUUUCCACAUCUAUUGUGAUGCAAGUGCGGUGGCGGUUGGCAGCAUUCUGUGCCAACUUGUAGAAGGCCCAAGCAAGGGCAAGGAUCAUCCAAUUGCCUACGCUAGUAGGCAAUUAAAUCUUGCAGAGAAAAAUUAUUCCACCACUGAGAGGGAAUGUCUAGCCAUGGUGUUCUCAGCUAAGAAGUUUAGACAUUAUCUGUUGAGCAACAAAGUGGUUUUUUAUGUGGAUCACAUGGCCAUCAAGUAUUUGGUUAACAAACCUGAGUUGAGCGGUCGGCUAGCUAGGUGGGUCUUGUUGCUACAAGAGUUUGAUUACACUGUGGAGUACAAACCUGGAUCCGUACACAAACAAGCAGAUCACAUGUCGAGAUUGCUUGGAGGAAUGGAGACCCACCUGAUUGAUAAUAGAUUGAUAGACAAGAGUCUUUUCUUGGUGACAGCUAAACCAGCAUGGUAUUCUAGGAUUAUUGAGUUCUUGACUACUCAACAAUUGCCAGUGGAUUUAUCCAAGGACGAGAGGCGGAAGAUUCGGGUCAAUAGUCGUCAUUUUGUGGUAUUAGGGAACCGGUUGUAUCGACGUGGAUUGGAUGGAGUGUUAAGACGUUGUGUAAUGGAAGAUGAGGUUCCUUCUAUUUUGUCAGCUUGUCAUGACAGUGCGUGUGGCGGACAUUUUUCUGGCCAAUUGACUGGUCAGAAAAUUCUUAGGGCUGGUUAUUACUGACCAACACUCUUCAAGGACGCUCAUACCUAUGUGAGACGUUGUGAUGCAUGUCAGAGAUUUGCUGGGAAUGACAUUCACAUGCAGUUGCCGCUUCACAUUUUCCUACCAUUGGUGCCAUUCGAGAAGUGGGGCAUCGAUUACGUAGGAGAGAUUCAUCCUCAUUCAUCUCGAGGAAUGGCAUAUAUUGUAGUGGCCACUGAAUAUCUCACUAAGUGGGCUGAAGCCAAGGCUAUGAGGACAAAUGAUGCCAAGAAUGCUGCAAUCUUUCUCUUUGAGAAUGUGAUUACUAGAUUUGGAGUCCCGAAGAUUUUUGUGAGUGAUCGAGGUACUCAUUUCCUCAACGAGGUGAUUGAAUCCAUGACUGAGCGAUUCCAGAUUGAUCACCGGAAGACUGCACCCUAUCACCCUCAAACCAAUGGUCAGACAGAGCGAGUCAACCAAACACUUGGUACUAUAUUGAUGAAAACUAUUAGAGACUCUAAGCGUGAUUGGGAUGUGAAACUGCCAGCCCCCUUAUAGGCAUAUAGAACAUCAUUCAAGGUCACCACGCAGGCUACGCCAUUCUCUCUAGUCUAUGGACUGGAAGCAGUUUUACCAAUUGAGUUUGAGGUUCCAUCCCUUCGGAUUGCAGUAGAUUCCAGAUUGACUGACAGACAAUCUUUAAAGACAAGGUUGUACGAGCUCGAGGCGUUGGAUAAGAGCAGAAGACGAGGGGCUCAACACAUUGAGGCCAUCCAGAGGUGGCGCAAGGUCGUGUUUGAUAAACGGAACAAGACUCAAGUCUUGCAACCUGGUAUGCUAGUAUUGUUACAAGAUGCUCGGAAGAUCGACUUUCCAAGCAAGUUUGAUGCCAUAUGGUUGGAUCCUUAUCUUGUCAAGGAGGUGUUUUUAAGCAACUCCGUACAAUUGGAGACCUUGAAUGGUCAAUUGUUUCCCACACAAACAUCAGGUAGCAGGUGUAAAGAAUAUAAGACAUGAGGCAGCGCAAUUUUGGACAAGAGCUCCACCUUUCUAUCUUAUGACAAGGCGAUAGUAUGAACUGGCAUGGUAAAAAUACUUAAAAGGACAAAAAAUGGCAAGUACAAGCUGGAUUCGUCCCCUGAUGGUCGCCAAUUAUGUGAGCCCAAAAGUUGGUUCACAUUGUUGGUUAAACUAAAAAAAUCUAAAAAAAAUGAGGAUUUUGAUUAUGUUUUGUUAUAAUAAGUUAGUUAUAGAUAUUAAUGUUAGUGGCUUAUUGAUGAUUAGUAGUGGAAAGAAAAAUCAAGGGAGAAGGGAGUGGUGGGAAAGAUAAGAAAAAGAGCCAAAAAAAAAAAGAAAAAAAAAGAAAAAAAAACAAAAAAAAAAAAAAAGGCCAAGAAGAAAGAAGGAAGAAGAUGAAGAGGGACAAGGAGAAGAAGAAAAAAAAGGAGAAGAAAAUAAUUAGAAGUAAAUUUAUUGUGAUGGGUUUGUCAAAUUGUUGGUUCUUAAUGAUCUAGAACUUAGAUUUGGGUAUAUGAAUAGUCAAACUUGAUGUUUAAAUAUGUUUUAAACUCAUUGGUGGAGUUAGUUUUGUCGAAAAACGCUUCAAAUUGGGGAUUUUGGGCAUGUCUAGCACUAAAAUCGGGUUUAGGACUUAGGGUUAAUGUGGGCCCUUGAUCUUGAUUAGGGUUGGUGGAUUCGGAUGGUGGAGAUGUGGCCGCCACCCUUUGGUCUCUUCCUACUUGGAUAAGAGGGUGGGGGUGGCCACACUCGCUCUCUCUCUCUUUUUUUUUUUUGGGGGGCGAAGCCAUGCCAAAUUGCAUCCCCACGUACCCUUGUUUCUAUAGAGCUGCAAUUGCGCAGCUGUAGUGUAUUAGUUAUCUGGAAAUAGAACGUCAAACUUUACCAAUAGUUAGAUCUUGUCGUUAGCUUCCUCGGGACAGUAGGCACGCUUUGUUUGGAGAGAAAACAAGAAAGUUGUGGUUUUAGUGACAAGGAGGUCAGCUGCCGGCCAGAUCUGGAGGUCCGACUUUGGAAGGCAAGUGUUGGCGGACAGUAUUGAAUUUGGAGCUGAAACUUUUGUGGGGGAUGGUUCUUGUUGUCAGCUUUGCAAGGACUAUUUUCACGCUUAGAUUGAGUAAAGGCCAAGGAAGUUAUGGUGGUUGGAGUGAAGAGGAGUCGGCCGUGGUGAAGAUGUAGCACUCCGCCAACUCAAGCUACUUUGGAAGGUCAUAUCUUGGAAUUCACUCAAGAUUUUCAAGAAAAAAUUGUUGGAGGUGAUGCGGCUUCAAUUCUAGUUUCUGGAAUGCUAAAGCAUAUGCGUUGCACAACUGGAAUGGAGCAAGGGCAAGGGUUUUUGUGGCCAGGGGUGCUCUGACUAAGCCGAGAAAGUUAGGCAACUUUGAGGCAAGAUUUCUCUUAGCUUAAUUGUUGUUUUGCAUUGAAUUUUGUUGGAGGACAAGCGCUUGUAAGUCUACUUUCUAAAAUAGCAAAGCUUGUUAUAAACAAGUUAGUGAUGCAACCAUUGUAGUGGAAUUCGUGCAAGGGGGUCGCUACCAUGACUUGGAAGGUGGCGACUUCUAAUUUUCUUUAAUUUUUAGGAUGAAUCUUGGAUGAAUUAGGUCAAUUGCACGAAUUGUCAGUUGGAUGAUAAGUUGACUUAUGGUUGGAUGAAUGAAUCUUUAGAUGAAAAUUGGAUGAACAAACUUUGAAUGAAUGAAUGUUAUAGGAUGAAUGAGAUUUAAGGAAUGGAUGAUUGAUGAAGGGAAAUUUAGGAUGAAUGAGAUUUAAGGAAUGGAUGAUUGAUGAAGGGAAAUUUAGGAUGAAUGAACUUAGGGUUUAUGGAUGAACUUAGGGUUUCUAGAUGAACUUAGGGUUUCUAGAUGAACUUAGGGUUUCUAGAUGAACUUAGGGUUUCUGGAUGAACUUAGG
rnacentral:lncRNA from 1 species